rnacentral:rRNA from 1 species
UACGGAGGGUGCAAGCGUUAUCGGGAUUCACUGGGUUUAAAGGGUGCGUAGGUGGGUUGGUAAGUCAGUGGUGAAAUCCCCGAGCUUAACUUGGGAACUGCCAUUGAUACUAUCAGUCUUGAAUACCGUGGAGGUCAGUGGAAUAUGUCAUGUAGCGGUGAAAUGCUUAGAUAUGACAUAGAACACCAAUUGCGAAGGCAGCUGGCUACACGAAUAUUGACACUGAGGCACGAAAGCGUGGGGAUCAAACAGG